UACGUAGGGGGCAAGCGUUGUCCGGAUUUAUUGGGCGUAAAGAGCGUGUAGGCGGUUAGGUAGGUCCGUUGUGAAAACUCGAGGCUCAACCUCGAGACGCCGAUGGAAACCAUCUGACUAGAGUCCGGAAGAGGAGAGUGGAAUUCCUGGUGUAGCGGUGAAAUGCGUAGAUAAUCUGGAGGAACACCGGUGGCGAAGGCGGCGAUCCUGGACCGAUAUUGACGCUGAUGCGCGAAAGCCAGGGGAGCAAACG
rnacentral:rRNA from 1 species